GCCGGCGUAGCUCAGUGGCUAGAGCGAGGGUCUCAUAAUCCCUAGGUCGCUGGUUCGAAUCCAGCCGCCGGCACCA
rnacentral:tRNA from 1 species